GAACGCUAGCUACAGGCUUAACACAUGCAAGUCGAGGGGCAGCAUUUUAGUUUGCUUGCAAACUAAAGAUGGCGACCGGCGCACGGGUGAGUAACACGUAUCCAACCUGCCGAUAACUCGGGGAUAGCCUUUCGAAAGAAAGAUUAAUAUCCGAUAGUAUAUUAAAACCGCAUGGUUUUACUAUUAAAGAAUUUCGGUUAUCGAUGGGGAUGCGUUCCAUUAGUUUGUUGGCGGGGUAACGGCCCACCAAGACUACGAUGGAUAGGGGUUCUGAGAGGAAGGUCCCCCACAUUGGAACUGAGACACGGUCCAAACUCCUACGGGAGGCAGCAGUGAGGAAUAUUGGUCAAUGGACGAGAGUCUGAACCAGCCAAGUAGCGUGAAGGAUGACUGCCCUAUGGGUUGUAAACUUCUUUUAUAUGGGAAUAAAGUAUUCCACGUGUGGAAUUUUGUAUGUACCAUAUGAAUAAGGAUCGGCUAACUCCGUGCCAGCAGCCGCGGUAAUACGGAGGAUCCGAGCGUUAUCCGGAUUUAUUGGGUUUAAAGGGAGCGUAGGUGGAUUGUUAAGUCAGUUGUGAAAGUUUGCGGCUCAACCGUAAAAUUGCAGUUGAAACUGGCAGUCUUGAGUACAGUAGAGGUGGGCGGAAUUCGUGGUGUAGCGGUGAAAUGCUUAGAUAUCACGAAGAACCCCGAUUGCGAAGGCAGCUCACUAGACUGCAACUGACACUGAUGCUCGAAAGUGUGGGUAUCAAACAGGAUUAGAUACCCUGGUAGUCCACACAGUAAACGAUGAGUACUCGCUGUUUGCGAUAUACAGUAAGCGGCCAAGCGAAAGCAUUAAGUAUUCCACCUGGGGAGUACGCCGGCAACGGUGAAACUCAAAGGAAUUGACGGGGGCCCGCACAAGCGGAGGAACAUGUGGUUUAAUUCGAUGAUACGCGAGGAACCUUACCCGGGCUUAAAUUGCAUUUGAAUAAUCUGGAAACAGGUUAGCCGCAAGGCAAAUGUGAAGGUGCUGCAUGGUUGUCGUCAGCUCGUGCCGUGAGGUGUCGGCUUAAGUGCCAUAACGAGCGCAACCCUUAUCUUUAGUUACUAACAGGUCAUGCUGAGGACUCUAGAGAGACUGCCGUCGUAAGAUGUGAGGAAGGUGGGGAUGACGCCAAAUCAGCACGGCCCUUACGUCCGGGGCUACACACGUGUUACAAUGGGGGGUACAGAAGGCAGCUACCUGGCGACAGGAUGCUAAUCCCAAAAACCUCUCUCAGUUCGGAUCGAAGUCUGCAACCCGACUUCGUGAAGCUGGAUUCGCUAGUAAUCGCGCAUCAGCCAUGGCGCGGUGAAUACGUUCCCGGGCCUUGUACACACCGCCCGUCAAGCCAUGAAAGCCGGGGGUACCUGAAGUACGUAACCGCAAGGAGCGUCCUAGGGUAAAACUGGUAAUUGGGGCUAA
rnacentral:rRNA from 1 species